rnacentral:tRNA from 1 species
UCGCGGGAUGGAGCAGUCUGGUAGCUCGUCGGGCUCAUAACCCGAAGGUCGUUGGUUCAAAUCCAGCUCCCGCAAUUUGGUCCAUUGGAGCAGUGGUUUAUCUCGCCUCCCUGUCACGAAGGAGAUCAUGGGUUCAAAUCCCAUAUGGACCGUAAG